UACGGGGGGGGCAAGCGUUGUUCGGAAUUACUGGGCGUAAAGGGCUCGUAGGCGGCCAACUAAGUCAUACGUGAAAUCCCUCAGCUUAACUGGGGAACUGCGUGUGAUACUGGAUGGCUUGGAUUUGGGAGAGGGAUGCGGAAUUCCAGGUGUAGCGGUGAAAUGCGUAGAUAUCUGAAGGAACACCGGUGGCGAAGGCGGAUCUCUGGACCAGUUCUGACACUGAUGAGCGAAAGCCAGGGGAGCAAACAGG
rnacentral:rRNA from 1 species